UCGGGAAUUUUGGGCAAUGGGCGAAAGCCUGACCCAGCAACGCCGCGUGAAGGAUGAAGUAUUUCGGUAUGUAAACUUCGUAAGAAUAGGAAGAAUAAAUGACGGUACUAUUUGUAAGGUCCGGCUAACUACGUGCCAGCAGCCGCGGUAAUACGUAGGGACCAAGCGUUGUUCGGAUUUACUGGGCGUAAAGGGCGCGUAGGCGGCGUGGUAAGUCAUCUGUGAAAUCUCCGAGCUUAACUCGGAACGGUCAGAUGAUACUGCUGUGCUAGAGUACAGAAGGGGCAAUCGGAAUUCUUGGUGUAGCGGUGAAAUGCGUAGAUAUCAAGAGGAACACCUGAGGUGAAGACGGGUUGCUGGGCUGAUACUGACGCUGAGGCGCGAAAGCUAGGGUAGCAAACGGGGAUUAGAUACCCACGUAGUCCCUGAGCGGGCUGGCAAGGCGCAU
rnacentral:rRNA from 1 species